rnacentral:misc_RNA from 1 species
GAUGAAGAACGCAGCGAAAUGCGAUACGUAAUGUGAAUUGCAGAAUUCAGUGAAUCAUCGAGUCUUUGAACGCACAUUGCGCCCCCUGGUAUUCCGGGGGGCAUGCCUGUCCGAGCGUCAUUGCUGCCCUCAAGCACGGCUUGUGUGUUGGGCCUCCGUCCUCCUCCCGGGGGACGGGCCCGAAAGGCAGCGGCGGCACCGCGUCCGGUCCUCGAGCGUAUGGGGCUUCGUCACCCGCUCUUGUAGGCCCGGCCGGCGCUGGCCGACGCGAAAGCAACCAUUUUUUCUCCAGGUUGACCUCGGAUCAGGUAGGGAUACCCGCUGAACUUAAGCAUAUCAAUAAGCGGAGGA